UGAGGAAUAUUGGGCAAUGCCCGCAAGGGUGACCCAGCAACGCCGCGUGGAGGAUGAAUGUCGUAAGAUUGUAAACUCCUGUUAGAGGGGAAGAAUAGUACCGGUUGGACCGGUAUAUGACUGUACCCUCAGAGAAAGCCCCGGCUAACUACGUGCCAGCAGCCGCGGUAAUACGUAGGGGGCAAGCGUUGUCCGGAUUUACUGGGUGUAAAGGGCGCGCAGGCGGGAUAAAAAGUCAGUGGUGAAAUCCUACAGCUUAACUGUAGAACUGCCUUUGAUACUUUUAUUCUUGAGUUCGGGAGAGAGAGACGGAAUUCCAGGUGUGGUGGUGAAAUACGUAGAUAUCUGGAAGAACACCAGUUGCGAAGGCGGUCUCUUGGUCCGACACUGACGCUGAGGCGCGAAAGCGUGGGGAGCAAACA
rnacentral:rRNA from 1 species